AGAUAAAUUUUUUAUAAUUUAUAAAAUUUAUUAUAAAUUUAUUUUACAUGUAAAUUUUAGUAUGGAAUUUUAAUUAUUUUAAUAAUAGUUAAUUAUAUAUUUAUAGUAAUUAAAAUUAAAAAUUUAAGAAAUUAAGAUUUAGUAAUAUAAAAAUUAAUAACUAAUUUUGUGCCAGCAGUUGCGGUUAAACAAAAGUUAAAUUAAAUUAUUUCAGUAUAUAAUUAAUAAUUUAAAAUUAAAAUAAAUAUUAAAUUAUUAGGUGGAAUUUUAAUUUAAUUAAAAUUUAUAUAAAAAUUAUGAUUUAAUAAAUUUUAAUAUAAACUAGGAUUAGAUACCCUAUUAUUAAAAAUUUAAUUUAAAGUACUAAAAUAGUAAAUAAUAUUUUAUUGAAACUUAAAUAAUAUGGCGGUAUUUUAGUUCCUUUAGAGGAAUCUGUCUAAUAAUUGAUAAUCCACGAAUGAAUUUACUUAAUUUAAUAUUUUGUAUAUCAUUGUUAAAUAAAUAUUUUUUAAUAAUAAUAAUAUUUAAAAAUUUUAAAUAUAAAUUAAUUCAGAUCAAGAUGCAGAUUAUAAUUAAGAUUAAGAUGGAUUACAAUAAAAUUAUUUAAACGAAAAGAAUUUUGUAAAAUUUGAUUGAAGGUGGAUUUAAAUGUAAUUUUAAUUAAUUUAUUAAAAUGAUUAAAAAUUGAAAUAUGUACAUAUUGCCCGUCACUUUCAUUUUAAAAUUGAAAUAAGUCGUAACAAAGUAGAGGUACUGGAAAGUGUUUCUAGAAUGAA
rnacentral:ncRNA from 1 species